rnacentral:rRNA from 1 species
GACGAACGCUGGCGGCGUGCCUAAUACAUGCAAGUUGAGCGCUGAAGGUUGGUACUUGUACCAACUGGAUGAGCAGCGAACGGGUGAGUAACGCGUGGGGAAUCUGCCUUUGAGCGGGGGACAACAUUUGGAAACGAAUGCUAAUACCGCAUAAAAACUUUAAACACAAGUUUUAAGUUUGAAAGAUGCAAUUGCAUCACUCAAAGAUGAUCCCGCGUUGUAUUAGCUAGUUGGUGAGGUAAAGGCUCACCAAGGCGAUGAUACAUAGCCGACCUGAGAGGGGGAUCGGCCACAAUGGGAAGGAGACACGGCCCAAACUCCUACGGGAGGAAGCAGUAGGGAAUCUUAGGCAAUGGACGAAAGGCUGACCGAGCAACGCCGCGUGAGGGAAGAAGGUUGUCGGAUCGUAAAACUCUGUUGGUAGAGAAGAACGUUGGUGAGAGUGGAAAGCUCAUCAAGUGACGGUAACUACCCAGAAAGGGACGGCUAACUACGUG